CGUUCCGAGUUGGGUGGGGUGAGAGAUAUAAACAGGGGGAGCCGGGGACUUCGACAGACACACCCUCAGCUCACAGCAGCUCACGCAGCUCAGCUCAGCUCAGCUCAGACAAGAUGAACGCCAAGACUCUGAUGGUUCUGUUUGCCGUGCUCGCCGUCCUCGGCGCCGUAGCCUCCGCCGCGCCGGGCUACCCCUACGGCUACGGCUACAGCUACAGCCAUGGACACGGCCCGUACUACGGCUACGCCCGUCCGUACGGAUACGGACCGCACUACGGCUACCGGGCCCAUCCGUACGGGUACGGAUACAGUCACUACGGAUACCACUAAGACGGUCAACACACUGCUCACUGGACGACGGUACACGACAGCUAUAAUCACUGCCGAGAAAUGGGAACUGGAGAAACGGACUUUUGCGGAUGUCGCAAGAAGGCGCAGCUGAUGCCGAAUGGUGUUCAUUUUUGUGCAAAGGAACGAUCUGGUGUG